AUCUCUUUCUGGAGAUCCCUCCUUGGUGAAGCUUUCCCCUGUGAAUAUGGAAUCUUCUGAUACAGGUUUUCAAUGACCAUUCUGUUACUGUAACCACCAUGGAUGCGAACGCUGUGGUGAUAAAGGCUUGCUAUUUUCUCCUACUGGAUUCCUCAAAUCCAAGAGCUACUCAGCAGUUUCCAAGGCAACCACCUGUGGAAUAAUUAAAAAGGAUGAAGUGUUAGUGUGCCAGAUGAAUGGAAUUCUUGCCUGGAGAGAGCACUUCAUUUUCAGCUGUUCUGAAGAAUCAAAUGUGAUUCUGCCAGCACAGUUCAGGCCUCCUCGUGAAGCCGCAUGAUGCCAACCUACUGCAGAGGAGCCACGGUCUGGUGCCAGCGAUUCAUAUCCAUUUUGUGGAGUAGUGGAGAUCUACAGUGAUUAACUGCUAAGUGUUGUUAUUAAUGAUUCAGAGCUUCUGGCUCCUCUUUCCAUACAUGGAUCAUCAGACUGUCUUUCCUUGCCAUUUUAAAAUUAUUCUCUGAAUGACCUGAAUGUCUUCGAAGUAGCUUCAAUUUCUGUUCUGGCGCAGGCUUUACGAACAGAAUCUUUCAUCUGGUACACUUAACAUUAAUUUCGCUUUUUUAAUGGGAUUCUCUUUUCCCAAAUUUACAUGAUCGAGCUUGCAGUCUGUUGGAGAUGUUCUCUUCCAGUGAUAAAUAUGCCUGAGCAUCUCUUAAUAUGUGUUGAGCAGCACGUAGGUAGCUGUUUGCAUGUCGUGCGCUUCCCCAGGCAGAUAAACAAUGAGGGGUUUGUGUGGCUGUUGCUCAAGCAAUACUUCAGAAAAGUUCCAUCCUGCCUGGCUGUCACUUCUGUUGUUGUACUUUGCUCUUGGUGACAUCAUUGGUGGCAGCAAAAUGAAGUGUAUUAAUUGUUCGAUGCUCUUUGACCAAGGAUGUUGACUUUUCCCAGCGACCAAUCCUGAACAGCCAACUUAGUAGAAGAAACUGUAUGUACCAUAAUAUGGUUACAAGCAUGAGUGAGAGUGGAGUUAGACUGUUUAUGUAGAUGAGAGAUAAAUAAGGAGAACUGGAAGCGAUGUGAAUCGCUUCGACAUUUUCAAAGUCUCCACUGCUGAUGGUGGAAUCAGCUCUGAAAUUAAAAACCCUUUACUUUGU
rnacentral:lncRNA from 1 species